GGGAUCUUUUCAGACCAGAUGCCAGUGCCCCAAAGGUGCCAGUGCCAGGGCCCUCCUGAUGCUGCCUUUUGGGGCGAGAGCAGGAAAGGGGAUCUUUGGGCACAAGAUCCAAACAGCUCCUUCAACCAAACACUUGAUUCACCAGCAGCGUGGCAGCCAAAGGACAAAGAAGAAAAAGAGGCAAGGCAGCUCCCAGGCAUCUCCAUGAAGUUACAAAAGGCAGCUACAUCUGCCUAAGUGCACUUCCAUCCACUGGAAAAGAUUCUUAGCAGCAAGGAGCAAAGGGAAUGGUGGGCAGUAUCUAGCUAUCUCUCUAAAUGGGUAAGACCGCACAGUCCAUACACCUCCACACGGCCUGGUCCUGUCCAGAGGUGCAGCCUGCCUUCUCCAAAGGUGGAUUUCAGCUCAAACAGCUGGGUGAAGUCUCUGUUUUUCUCUCCUCACACCCGUAACCCUGGCAACCUCCCAGAGAACACACUCUAUUCCUCGAUGGUUAGGGAGAUUGCACUUUCCCACGGUCUGUCAAAAAAAUUGAAUCCUUAGCAUUUAAUACUGUCUUAAUACAGUUUGGGGGUGGUUGUGUCAGCCCUUAAAAAUCAACUGCAAAGAUUGAAGACUGUCCCCCCCGCUAUACACAUAGGCUGGGAGCCCCAAUGGCACAAGACUAAGUGGGCUGAGCCCUGCAACGGGGGCCAAAACCAAAAGCCAGUUGAAUCACUUACAUUUACAAGUCAUGUACAUUGAUUACAUUUACAUUGACAAAUACUGGCACGUAUUUGUAUGCGUUUUGGAAAUUUGCAGCAGUUUGUAAUGUUAAGAGAGGUGUUCUAAAGAUAAGCACUUUAUACGUUCAUGAACAUUCCCUUGGUGCAGGCUCAUGGUUUUUUCCUUUUCUGGAGGCAUAAAUGUUCUUAGCAGAUGUACAAUCCCCCUGAAGGCUUCAGGCCUCCUCCUGACUGUUGAAAUGCUCCUGGGGAGACUGUAAGCAGCACCUCCUCCGCUCCCAGUCAGCAAAAGGGGAUGGCAAGGUGUGCUUCAUGGCGCAACUUACAGCUGCAGUUUAAAGUGCCUUAAAAGUGCGAUUUCAUAGGGCAACACUGACAGCACAACCAAGGUUGGUGGUUCUCCUGCAUAUUCCUGCCUUGCAGUGGGCUGGGCUGGAUGACGCUUGGGUCCCUUCCAGAUACAGAUAUAAAUGCAGGGUCAUAUGAUUCUUUGGAAUGUGGUUCAGAAAGAAUAAACAGAAAUAGCAUUCCUUUAAGUUACGGGACGCGGGUGGCACAGGGGUCCCUUUACCUGAAGUAGGCUUCAAAAUGCCAUUUAAGAGGGCAAAUUUUGCUGCAUAACCAAGGUUGCGGGAUUGUUCCCCGUAAGGGACUCCUGCAUGUUCCUGCGAUGCAGCGGGUUGGACUGGAUGACCCUUGGGGUCCCUUCCAGAGGUUUAUAUACCAUCAUUAUUCUUUGGAAAGGGCUUCAGAAAGAAGAAAGAGAAAUAGUGUUAAAUGUUCUUAGCUUAUGUACGAUCCCCCCGAAGGCUUCAGGCCUCCUCCUGACUGUUGAAAUGCUCCUGGGGAGACUGUAAGCAGCACCUCCUCCGCUCCCAGUCAGCAAAAGGGGAUCGCAAGGUGUGCUUCAUGGCGCAACUUGCAGCUGCAGUUUAAAUUGCCAUAAAAGUGCCAUUUCAUAGGGCAACACUGACAGCACAACCAAGGUUAGUGGUUAUUCUCCUGCAUAUUCCUGCCUAGCAGCUGGUUGGGCUGGAUGACCCUUGGGGUCCCUUCCAGAUAUAGAUACAUAUAUGCAGCACCAUAUGAUUCUUUGGAAUGUGCUUCAGAAAGAAGAAACAGAAGUAAGUUGUAUGAUGGCAAUGUUGCCUCACCUUAGGCUGUGUCACCUAACAGUUAAUGGUACUGUGAACACCAAGGUUGCAGGGGGAUCUCCAUAAGGGACGCCUGCAUAUUCCUAAGAGCUGGAAAGUGCCACACAAAGAAGAAACAGAAAAACAUACCUCCAGGUUAGUUGUAUGAUGGCCAACCACUUCCCCUUCCUUGCCAGCUAGUUUAUUCUUUCUUGCAUAGCAAUACAAAUGAUGGAUGCCUGUUUUAUACUCCUACUCUUUCAGUUCAUCUGAAAGAAAUCAGGCCCACUUAUAGUUCUAUGUAUGGGCUGUGCUUCGUUCCUUAAUGUCAGAUUUUGUGGAUUUAUUAUCACCCAUAUGUUUCGGGCACAAGCCUAUUUACUCAUGGAAAAGGAAAGGUUGGGGGGAAACGAGGGUUCCUGAAGUAAGUGGGCUUCCUUGCCCCACUUCAGGGCAGAAGGGGGAGAUGGAGAGAACGCUCUGCCUUUAACGAAACACCUGAUUCGCCCAGCAGCGUGGCAGCCAAAGGAAAGAGAAGAAAAAGAGGCAAGGCAGCUCCCAGACAAAUGUGCAAAUAUGGGUUGCCUGUAUGGGCUCUGUUUUAUUCCUUAAUGUCGAAUGCUACAUUUGCCUAAGUCCUCUUCCAUCCACUGGAAAAGCUUCUUAGCAGGAAGGAGCAAAAGGAACUGUGGGAAAUACCUAGGAAUCUCUCUAAAUGGGUAAGACCGCACAGUCCCUACACCUUCACAAGACCUGGUCCUUUCCAGAGGUGCAGCCUGCCUACUCCAAAGGUGGAUUUCAGCUCAAACAGCUGGUUGUCCCUCCAAAAAAUGGAAACCUUAGCAUUUAGUAAUGUCUUAAUGCAGUUGGGGGAGGUGUUUGUGUGUGUCAGCCCUUAAAAAUCAACUGUGCAAAGAUUUAAGACUGUCUCCCGCUAUGCAUAUAGGCUGGGAGCCCCAAUGGCACGAGUAAGUGGGCUGAGCCCCUGCAACAGGGGCCAAAACCAAAAGCCAGUUGAAUCAUUUACACUGACAAAUACUGGCACAGAUGUAUGCAUUUUGGAAAUGUGCAGCAGUUUGUAAUGUUAAGAGAGGUGUUCUAAAGAAAAACACUUUAUACACUCAUGAGCAUUCCCUUAGAGCAGGCUCAUGGUAGUUUCCUUUUCUGGAGGCAUAAAUGUACUUAGCAGAUGUACAAUCCCCCUGAAGGCUUCAGGCCUCCUCCUGACUGUUGAAAAGCUCCUGGGGAGACUGUAAGCAGCACCUCCUCCGCUCCCAGUCAGCAAAAGGGGAUGGCAAGGUGUGCUUCAUGGCGCAACUUGCAGCUGCAAUUUAAAUUGCCUGAAAAGUGCCAUAUCAUAGGGAACACUGACAGUACAACCAAGGUUGGUGGUUCUCCUACAUAUUCCUGCCUUGCAGUGGGUUGGGCUGGAUGACCCUUGGGGUCCCUUCCAUAUAUAGAUAUAUAUGCAGCAUUAUACGAAUCUUUUGAAUGUGCUUCAGAAAGAAGAAAUACUAAUAGCAUUCCUUUAAAUUAUGCGGGUGGCACUGUGGGUUAAACCACAGAGCCUAGGACUUGCCGAUCAGAAGGUCGGCGGUUCUAAUCCCGCGACGGGCUGAGUUCCCGUUUCUGGGUCCCUGUUCCUGCCAACCUAGCAGUUCGAAAGCACGUCAAAGUGCAAGGAGAUAAAUAGGUACUGCUGCGGCGGUAAGGUAAACGGCGUUUCCGUGUGCUGCUCUGGUUCGCCAGAAGCAGCUUAGUCCUUCUGGCCACAUGACCCGUAAGCUGUACACCGGCCAAUAAAGCGAGAUGCGUGCCGCAACCCCAGAGUCUGCCACGACCGGACCUAAUGGUCUGGGCUCCCUUUACCUUUGACAAAGAUCAGAAGUUGUAAGUCUGCUGUUGUAAGGUUUGGGUCAUUAUUAGGGUCGGGGUUAGUCACCUCGUUUUCUGUGAGUUACCGUAUUAUUCCUUGUACAUUAAUUUGAGCUUGGCAGAUCCUGUGCCUCCUUUUACACGGACCCCUCUUUUAGUUCUUCUGAAAAAAAUCUGCCCCCUCCCCCGUUAUUUCUCAGGUCUCUAGGGGCCGUUCUGAAUUCUUUCUCCCAAAAAGAGGGGAGGAGAAGGAUGGGGGAAGUUUUGCCUGACGGAGGGAGAAGAGGGGCGAGAGGGGGAAAGGGUAUCUUUGGGCACAAGAUCCAAACGUCUCCUUUAACCAAACAUCUGAUUCGCCCAGCAGCGUGGCCGCCAAAGGAAAGGCAAGAAAAAGAGGCAAGGCAGCUCCCAGACAUCUCCAUGCAGUUGCAAAAGGUGGGUUGCCUGCAUGGGCUCUGCUUUAUUCCUAAAUGUCGAAUGCUACAUCUGCCUAAGUCCACUUCCCUCCACCGGGAAAGAUUCUUAGCAGCAAGGAGCAAAGGGAAUGGUGGGCAGUAUCUAGCUAUCUCUCUAAAUGGGUAAGACCACACAGUCCCUACACCUCCACAAGGCCUGGUCCUUUCCAGAGGUCCAGCCUGCCUUCUCCAAAGGUGGAUUUCAGCUCAAACAGCUGGGUGAAGUCUCUCUUUUCCUCUCCUCACACCCGUAACCCUGGCAACCUCCCAGAGAUCAGUCUCUAUUCCUCGAUGGUCAGGGAGAUGGCACUUCCCACGGUCUGUCAAAAAAUUGAAUCCUUGGCAUUUAAUACUGUCUUAAUACAGUUUGGGGGUGGUUGUGUCAGCCCUUAAAAAUCAACUGCAAAGAUUGAAGACUGUCCCCCCCGCUAUACACAUAGGCUGGGAGCCCCAAUGGCACAAGACUAAGUGGGCUGAGCCCCUGCAACAGGGGCCAAAACCAAAAGCCAGUUGAAUCAUUUACAUUGACAAAUACUGGCACGGAUGUAUGCGUUUUGGAAAUUUGCAGCAGUUUGUAAUGUUAAGAGAGGUGUUCUAAAAAAAACCCCCGCUUUAUACACUCAUGAGCAUUUCUUUAGAGCAGGCUCACGGUUGUUUCCUUUUCUGGAGGUAUAAAUGUUCUUAGCAUAAGUACAAUCACCCGAAGGCUCCUUUACCUUUGACAAAGGUCAGAAGUUGUAAGUCUGCUGAUGUAUGUGUAGGCGUUGAGGUUUGGGUCAUUGUUAGGGUUGGGGUUAGGCUUAGGGGUCAGGGUCAGCGCCUCCCCCUGACUGUUUAAAUGCUCGCAGGCAGGAUGUAAGCAGCACCUCCUCUGUUUCCAGUCAAGAAUAGUGCAUGGCCAUGUUUGCUUCGUGGAUGAACUUGCAGCUGCAGGAGAGGUGUGGAUCCCUGAACUAUACCUAAGGAGCCUUCAAAGUGCCAUUUAAGCGGGCAACUUUUGCUGCACAACCAAGGUUGCAGGAUUGUUCCCCGUAAGGGACUCCUGCAUGUUCCUGUGUUGCAGCGGGUUGGACUGGAUGACCCUUGGGGUCCCUUCCAGAGGUUUAUAUACUAUCAUUAUUCUUUGGAAAGGGCUUCAGAAAGAAGAGAGAGAAAUAGCGUUAAAUGUUCUUAGCAGAUGUACAAUCCCCCCGAAGGCUUCAGGCCUCCUCCUGACUGUUGAAAUGCUCCUGGGGAGACUGUAAGCAGCACCUCCUCCGCUCCCAGUCAGCAAAAGGGGAUGGCAAGGGGUGCUUCAUGGCGCAACUUGCAGCUGCAGUUUAAAUUGCCUGAAAAGUGCCAUUUCAUACGGAACACUGACAGCACAACCAAGGUUAGUGGAUCUCCUACAUAUUCCUGCCUUGCAGUGGGCUGGACUGGAUGACCCUUGAGGUCCCUUCCAGAUAUAGAUAUAUAUGUAGCAUCAUAUGAUUCUUUGAAAUGAGCUUCAGAAAGAAGAAACAGUAAAACAUACCUUCCAGUUAGUUGUAUGAUGGCCAACUACUUCCCCUUCCCUGGUAGCCACUUUAUUGUUCCCGUUUUAUACUCCUACACUUUCAGUACAUCUGAAAGAAAUCAGGCCCACUUAUAUUUCUCUGUAUGGGCUGUGCUUUGUUCCUUAGUGUCAUUGGGCACAAGCCUACUUAGGCAUGGGAAAGGAAACAGACGUAAAAAGCAGGCACAUCUCUUAUACGUUUCCAACAGAAAAAAUAAGAACAUGGUAGAGUAUUGCUAGCUAACAUACUUACAAAAUGAGAACAAGGGCAACUUUAGAAUGGUUGAAUCUGCCUCUCAAAGAUUUCUCAAAGAAAUCUUCAUUAGAAAGACACGCAAUCAAAGGUAGCAAAACGACUGACAGAAGGGCGAUUUGCGGAUUGCAGCGCACACUCAAAGCUCCUUUCCUAGGGUCUUUCUUUUCUAAAACCCCACGUGGAAUCGAAACUCAAAUUCUGGAUUAAUUUUAAAUUCACCAAUGGUCAGCUAGUUUGCUUGGAACAGCUGAGGCUUGUUUGUUCUCAAGACCUUGGAUCAAAGAUUUCCUCCCUAAAUUUCUCAGAGACACACCAGUUCCUUUUCUCCUGUAAGAGGCUUGAUAACCCUUGUUCACACAGGGACGCUGCUUAAAAACCAGGUGUUAAAUUACUACUAAUCACUAACAGCAAAAGAGGCUUGAGCUCAGGGGUCAGCCUCUUUUCUUUUGGCCUUAGGCCCACCCCCGGCCGGCCGUCCAUUGUCCUCCCUGGCCGAGGGCGGGUCAAAGGCCAGCUCAAGCAGGUGGGUGGCACCUGCUCAGGUGAGCCUCGCUUGGUGCCGCAAACCCCGUCCACCUGUGGGGAAGGGAGGGCGGAUACUCCCAGAGACUGCUAGUCUCCAGCUUAAAGUAACAAGGACACAUUCCCCAUAAAUCCUUUGGCCUUUGGCCUUCCCAUAAUACUUUCCUUCUACUUGACCAAAGUUGGUCUAUUGAAAUUUCCUAACUUCACUACACCACCCUAAACCUUUGCAGGUGCCUGUUAGUUAAAGCUAGUUUUUCUUGGACCUGGUGGUUUGUAGGUGCUCAAGUGAAUUAGUUACACACCCAAAUCAGGACCAGGCUGCGGUGGAAAGUCCAACUCUCAUCCUUCCUGCAUCUCAAGGGAUUCAGUCCUGUGGUUCAGAACUCUGUGUCUCACUCUGCCACUUGGGGAUCUGCUACCUGAGGCAGCCACUUCACUUUGCCUUGUAAUAGGAAUUUUAUGGUCUUAGAUAUAUGGCAACGUUCAUAACCACACGUACAUAGAUCAGCACAGGAAAGCCAACCUGGAACCAUUUUGAUUCCUAAACUGAGCAAAUGUUUCUCUGCAUGGUCAAAGUGGAAAAGCCUCCCCAGACUCCUCAGGAAAUCCAAUCAAGUAACCUGCCAGACAGGAGAUAAACAAGGACAAGAGAAAAACAACAUUUAAAUUUCUGUGAUGUAGGUGGGAUGUAUCUGAGGGGUGGUCUUAGGUUGCACCCCUCCUGUAAUGUAUGCAUGAUGUUUCUGGGGGGUGGUCUUGAUCUACAGGAUGGGAAUUUCAAAAGUCUUUAUAAGCCCUUGCACAACAUUUUUGUGGGUCCCCCUCCUCCCCUGCAGGUGAGGGGAGCACCCUGUUGCAACAGAUCAAUAAAGAUCAAGCUUACUAGCUGCUUUGCUUCUCAAUAUUCUCUGGUUGGCCUCUGUUAUUUUCUCCUAUCAAUAGGGAACCUAUGUAAGGACUCUAUAUGGGCUCUUGGAUACCCCAUAAGGGAAAAGGGCAUUUUUUGUUUACAGCAUGAGUCAGCCUUGUCCUUACAACAGCCUCCUGAACAGAAUAAUUUUUAUUCAUUUUAAAACAUAAGAAUCAACAUACAUUCCACCAAAUUUCACCUCUUAUACAAUCUUUUUGGACUUCCAUCAGCCGCUCUGAUGAUCUCCCAUUUUUAUCAUUUCUUCUGCGUUUCUUAAAUUCAUAUUGCCUUGAAUGAUCAUAACUAACGUCAUCCUUUUCGUUCAGUAAUGCAAGAAUUCAAAUUAUUCCCCUUACAAAACUUCCUGCAAUCUGGUCGUCACAAUUACUUUUCAAAUAGUCCCUAAAUUUACGCCAAUCUUAUGUGAAUCUCUGGUCCCGCCGGUUUCGGAUUCUUCCCGUUAGUUUCUCUAGCUCUGCAUAGUCCAUCCAUUUCGUCCUCCAAUCUUCUUUCGUCGGCAAUUCUUGCUUCCGUUUUUGUGCCAAUAAUAUUCUAUCAUUGCAUACAAAACAGCUUACAAUCAUUUCUAUUUAUAUCAUCCCCUACAAUGCCUUCUGGUUUUUUAAUGAAUGUAUAUUUCAACAUUUUUUCCAUCUCAUUAUAUAUCAUUUCCCAGAGGUUUUUCACCUUUUUUACAUUCCCACCACAUAUGAUAAAAAGUUCCUUCUUGCUGGCCCUUCUCUUCCAGAACCGCACUUGACGCCAGGGAUUCCUGCUUUCAGGAUUUCCUUGCAAAGGAAGAUUCCAGCAGGGGAUCCCAAGGGAGAAGGUUAUUCUUCCUAGUUACCGGCUGCCCCACCCUGCAAGUUGCUUCCACAAAAUGCAGGCAGAAAUUCCACAGGUUCAGUAGGUGGCUAAAUGGUAGGCUCUGGACUCAGGCUUUCCCCGCAGAAUGGCACACAGGACAACAAGAAAGUUCUCUUUUUAAAAUUUAUUUAAAAAGCAAGAUUAAACAGACUUAAAAAGCAGGCACAUCUCUUAUACGUUUCCAACAGAAAAAAUAAGAACAUUGUAGAGUAUUGCUAGCUAAUGUACUUACAAAAUGAGAACAAGGGCAAAGUUAAAAUGGUUGAAUCUGCCUCUCAAAGACAGUAGAAAUCUUCAUUACAAAGACACGCAAUUGAAUGGCAGACUGACAGAAGGGCGAUUCGCGGAUUGCAGAGCGCCCUCCUUUCCUCGGGUCUUUCUUUCUCAAACCCCACGUGGAAACGGAACCCAAAUCCAAUCAAAAUUCUGGAUUCUGUUUAAAUUCACCAAUGGUCAGCUAGUUGGGUAAUAACUUAGCUUGGGACAGCUGAGGCUUGUUGGUUCUCAAGACCUUGGAUCAAAAGUUUCCUCCCCACACAGCAGAUACACAUUCCAGUGGUGAUUAGGGUUGAUGGCUCAUUCACACCCAGGAAGCAUCUUGGGGACCAGGUGCUAAAAUACCACUAACCAACUAGAGGUUUUUCCUUCCUGCAGAUGCCUGAGGUAAGCAUUUCACACUUUCAGAGACUGCAAGUCCCCAGUUUAAAGCAACAAGGACACAUUCCCCAUCAAUCCUUUGGCCGUUGGUCUUCCCAUAAUACUUUGCUUCAGCUUGACCAAAGUUGGUCUAUUGAAAUUUCCUAACUUCACUACACCACCCUAAACCUUGGCAGGGGCCUGUGGGAUAGCUCAAGCUAGUUUUUCUUGGACCUGGUGGUUUGUAGGUGCUAAAGUGAAUUAGUUACCCACCCAAGUCAGGACCAGGCUGUGGUGGAAAGUCCAACUCUCAUCCUUCCUGCAUCUCAAUGGAUUCAGUCUUGUGGUUCAGAACUCUGUCUCACUCUGCCACUUGGGGAUCUGCUACCUGAGGCAGCCACUUCACUUUGCCUCCUUAAGAGAGAUGGACAGUCUCUUAUCCUUUCAUUGGAGGGGUGGCAAUUAAUUAAGUCGAAAAAUAGCCACUGGCCCUUCUCUUCCAGAACUGCACUUGACCUGCUUUCAGAAUUUCCUUGCAAAGGAAGAUUCCAGCAGGGAAUCCCUUGCCCAGUUGCCCUGAUACAGUGCUACCUCCGCUUGCUGACGGGAUCCGUCCCAGAGGUCUGGCUGGAUCCUGAGGUUUUUGGAACCGGAGAGACUGCUUCCGCACAGGCGCGCUCGGCAAAAAUAUCCUUCUGGGUUUGCUGCUUAGGUUCCCGAAGUUUAAUUAACCGGCAGGAUACGUAAGCGGUGGUAAGACUGUAUAUCUUAUUUAUUGAUUUAUAAAAAGAAUUUGCAGACUGCCCCACCAUAGAGAAUUCCAAGGUCACCACUGGGUUGAUUUCCUAGGGCUGAUUUCCUUCCGAAUGGAGAGGUUUGAUCUUGCAGUCCAUGGGACUCUCAAGAGUCUCCUCCCACACCAGAAUUCAAAAGCAUCCAUUCUUCGGCAAUCAGCCUUCUUUAUGGUCCAGCUCUCACUUCCAUACAUCACUACUGGGAAAACCAGAGCUUGAACUAUACAGACCUUUGUUGGCAAGGUGAUGUCUCUGCUUUUUAAGAUGCUGUCUAGUUUUGUCAUUGCUUUUCUCCCAAGAAGCAGGCGUAUUUUAUUUAUAUUUUAUUUUUAUUUAUUUUAUUGUAUAAUGAAAUGAUUUUAGAAUGUAUUAUUUUAUUGUUGUUAGCCGCCCUGAGCCCGGCUUCGGCUGGGGAGGGCGGAAUAUAAAUAAAAGGUAUUAUUAUUAUUAUUGGUAGGAAGUCACUUCGGCACGGUACUGGCACAAUCGAAGUAGCUCCUUCGUUGAAGUUCAUAUCUGUGAAGUUUGCAUCUUGAAGAAUGAGUAUCUGGACAAGACGAUCCUCUGGUAUAUUGCUGCUUUCCCCUCUGAACAGGGAGCGUUGUGUGAAGUGCUAUUGGAAGUGCUAUAUGUGUGUGUGUGUGUGUGUGUGUGUGUAUACUGUAUAAGUGUGUAUGUGUAUAUAUAUGUUCUGUAUAUGUAUGUAUAUAUAUGUGUGUGUGUGUGUAUAUAUGAGUGUGUGUUUGUGUGUAUCUGUGUGUGUGUGUACUGUAUAUAUAUGUGUAUGUGUGUGUGUAUAUAUAUGUGUAUCUCUGUGUGUGUGUGUGUAAUAUAUAUAUAUAUAUAUAUAUAUAUAUAUAUAUAUAUAUACGUGUGUGUAUCUGUGGGUGUGGGUAUAUAUAUGUGUGUGUGUACUGUAUAUAUACCAUAUUUUUCGCUGUAUAACACGCUCCCAACCAUAACACGCACAUAGUUUUUAGAGGAGGAAAACAAGAAAAAAAUAUUCUAAACGAAACAGUGGAUGUAUGAUUUUUGUGGUUCAUGCUGUGGCCACAGACAUGUGAUCUGACGGUGAGUUUGGGGUAGCCCAAUGCAAAAAUCUUGAGGAUCCAUGUGGAUCCGUGCUUUGUAACCACGUUUUUGCACCACUGUGGCCCCAGGCAAAAGUGGGUGCGUGAUUUUUUUGGUGCAAGCUGUAGCCAUGGACAUGCUAUGAGAUCUGAUGGUGAAUUUGGGGUGACCCAGUGCAAAAAUCCUGAGGAUCCAUGUGGAUCCGUGCUUUUUAACCAUGUUUUAAGUGGGGAGGGAAGGAAAAGCACUCAAGGGACAAGGAACACGCGUGGGGUGGGUGGAGAAGGAUGCUGUUAAUAAUGCAGAAGAGGGGUAUAAGAGGAGAAGGCUCUUAUAAGAGGAGCGGGGAGGAGAGAGAGACAGAGACCCUGCUUCCGAAAAACUUUGCUGCUAUUUAGCGAGUGGGGAGGAGAGAGAGACAGAGGGCCUGCUUGAAAAAUCUUUGCUGUUAUUUAGCAAGCAGGCUCUCUGUCUCUCUCUCCUCCUCACUCAGCGGCUCUUCUCCCGCUUUGCUGUUUCAAAGCGAGCCACGGAGGAGGGAAGGAAGGGGAACCAUGGAUCCUCUGCUCACGACUGCAGCAGAUCCCCCCGCCAUCCGUAGGCAUUCCCUCCAUAACACACAGGAAAAAAGAGUGUUAUAGUGCAAAAAAUACCAUAUAUAUGUGUGUGUGUGUAUGAGUGUGUGUGUAUAUAUAUAUAUGUGUGUGUACUGAAUAUAUAUGUGUGUGUGUGUGUGUGUGUGUGUGUAUCUGUGUGUGUACUGUAUAUAUAUGUGUAUGUGUGUAUAUAUAUGUGUAUCUGUGUGUGUAUGUGUGUGCGUGUAUGUACUGUAUAUAUAUAUGUGUGUGUGUAUGGGUGUGUGUAUAUAUAUAUAUAUAUCAGUGUGUGUGUACUGUAUAUAUAUGUGUAUGGGUGUAUAUAUAUAUAUAUAUAUACAUAUGUGUGUAUAUACACGUGUGUGUACUGAAUAUAUAUGUGUAUGUGUGUAUAUGUGUAUCUGUGGGUGGGUGUAUAUAUAUAUAUAUAUAUAUAUAUAUAUAUGUGGGUGUGGGUGGGUGUGUACUGUAUAUAUACCGUAUUUUUCGUUCUAUAGGACGCACAUUUUCCCCUCCAAAAAUUAAGGGGAAAUGUGUGUGCGUCCUAUAGAGCGAAUGCAGGCUGCGCCGCUAAGCCCAAAGCCAGAACAGGAAGACGGAGCACUGCGGAGCGCUCGAUCUCACUCUUCUAGCUUGGGGACGGCUGCGCGCACAGCCUCUCCAGGGCAGCGGGGCGCUGCGCUCCAAAGGCUUCUGGGAUCUUUGAGGCUGGUGGUGGGGGAAAGCAGCGCUUUCAUAAACAUAAACACACACGCAUAUAUUUAUAUAUAUAUAUGUGUGUGUGUGUGCAUGUAUAUAUGUAUGUGUGUAUUUUUCGCUCUAUAAGACGCACCAGACCACGAGACGCACCUAGUUUUUGGAGGAGGAAAACAAGAAGAAUUUUUUUUCUGAAUCUCAGAAGCCAAAACAGCAAGAGGGAGCGCUGCGCAGCGAAAGCACACACAUUCCCCCUUACAUUUUAGGAGGGAAAAAGUGAGUCAUAGAGCAAAAAAUACGGUGUGUGUGCGUGUACUAUAUAUAUAUAUAUAUAUAUAUAUAUAUGGGUGUGUGUGGUGCGCGCGCUGUAUAUGUGUGUAUAUAUAUGUACUGUAUGUGUGUGUACUGUGUGUGUGUGUGUAUAUAUAUAUAUAUGCACUGUAUAUGUGUAUAUAUAUAAACAUAAACACACACACGUAUAUUUAUAUGUAUGUGUGUAUGUACUGUAUAUAGGUGUAUGUAUAUAUAUAUACACACACACACACACACACACACACACACACACACAUAUAUAUGUAUAUUUAUAUAUAUGUAUGUAUGUGUGCAUAUGUGUGUGUGUAUACUUGUCUGUAUAUAUACUGGUAGAUAGAAAGAACAGACAAAAGCUGUAUUUUCUUCUGUAUUUUCUUCUGUCUUUUCUUCCUAGAUCAGCUGUUCUGCAUCUGGCACAACUGGACUGCCCAAGGCUGCCACUGUGGCACAGAGCAGGUGAGGAGCGUCAGCGUGACUGUCCUGGCAACUCAGUCUAGUUUUUAAUUUGUGAUGAUUAUUUUUUUAUAUGUACACAAAUAUCCCAGAAGCGCUACUGCCAGACACUUGUCGUUACAGCUGUCUUCUUUUUUACAUCUUUAUAUAUGAUAAUAAUAUGGUAAUAGAUAAUAUUAUAUAUAAAAUAAUAUAUAAUAGUAAUAAAAUAAAUGAUCUUUAUUAUUGAUUUAGUUUGAGUUACAUACACAUAAUAUAUUACAUUUUACAUUUACACUUGCUCUUGAGAGCUGAUUUUCCUCCUUCCUUCUUUCAACUUCUUUAUGUCCCUCUAACUUUUCGCAUUGUCUUUUUCCAUUUUUCUUCUUCCAUUCUUCUCCAUAAAAUGUCUGUAAGCAAAUAAUCUUCCUAUAUAUACAGUUCUUAUUGUCUGUCUACAUUCAUUUACAAAUACUGUUCAUCACAUUACUCAUAAUAUACAUUUUUAUUUCUUACUCUUUUUAUUAUUCAGUCAAUUUCUUUGUCUUUUCCCAUCAUGAGCUUUGUUUCAAUUCUACCUGUUUCGCUAUUUCACUUCAUCUUCCCUAUAUAUAACAUGAAUUUCCCCCCAUUCUUUUUGAAAUGUUUCAUCUCCCUGAUUUGAAUUUUAGCUGUUAAUUUGGCUGUUUCUGCCUACUCCAACACCUUGUACUGCCACUAAAGAUCUUCUUUAAUUUAAUGUUUAAUUUAAUUAAUUUAAAUUAAUGUUUAAUUUAAUUUAAAUGUUUUCCCGAUAGGUUUUCACUUUAUCCCAUGUCCGUCACAUGGGGAAGAAACUGCCUUCUUUCACCCACAUUUCCAACACUUAUUUCCUGUUUUAUACAUCUUUGUCAAUUUAGUUUAAUGAUCUGUACAUCAUUUUUAACUGAUUCUCUUUUAACAAUCUCCAUGCUGCCAAUUUUAGCCCAGAGUUCCAUAAUUUUAUCCACUUUUCGUACUCAAUAUUAUGGCCUAUUAUGCCCAUUUAAUCCUGACAUUUUGGAUUUCCUCCUCCUUUGUGUGCCAUUCUAAUAAUAAAAUAAUCAAUGAAAAUAAAAUAAUCAAUAAAUUAAUAAAAAUUUGUAAAUCUUAAGACAAUAUUUUUGGGUUAUUUUGUAUGACUGCAGUUUCUAAUAUUGAUUUGCUUUGUUCCAAACCUCUUGCUCUUUUGUCUUUUGAGAAGAUGUCGUUCAUUUGGUGAUAUUCCAUCCAACCUGAUAAUUUAUCUUUUAGCUUUUACCUUUUAAUAAAUAUUUUAAUUAAGCUUUUACCUUUUAAUUAAUCAAAUUUAUUUUUAUUUAUUUAUUUAUUUUAAUUUAUCUUUUACCUUUUAAUUUAUCUUUUCCUAAGGCUUGAUCUUAAUUACCGUAUUUUUCGCCCUAUUGGACGCACUCGGCCCAUAUGACGCACCUAGUUUUCAGGGGGGGAAAUCAAGGAAAAAAGUAUGAUUUCCCCCCCACAGCUCUGGGAGCAGCAGACAGGCUGCACGCAGCCUGUGCGCUACUCCAAGACCUUCUCCCUGCUUUUGCGGGAGGUGGAGGAAUUUCUCCACCUCCCGCAAAUGCGUGACUCCUACGGGCUUUUCGACCAGGAGGGAAAAGGGACUGAAAUGGCCAGGCAGUCCCUUCUCCCUCCUCAGGGAAAAGCCCCCAAGAGCGGCACGCUCUUCAAAGGGUGCGCGGCUCCUGCGGGCUUUUCUGGGAGGUGGGGAAUUCCCCCACCUCCCAUAAAGCUCCGCAGGAGGGAUGGCGAGUAGCGGGAAGGCCUUGCACGCCUUCCCGCUGCCCCCCAUCCUCUGGGGCUGGCCAUGGGGGAAGCGCUGCUUUCCCCCACCGCCAGCCUCAAAGAGCAGACUCUCCUGGCUUCAGCGGAAGCAACGCAAAGCCUCCGGAGCGCAGGCUUUGGAGGCUUCGCGUUGCUAUCGCUGAAGCCAAGGAGCCUGCAUUCGCCCCAUAAGACGCACACACAUUUCCCCUUCAUGGUUGGAGGGGUAAAAGUGGGUCUUAUAGGGCGAACAAUACGGUACAUUUUCUCUUCCUGCAACAUGUCUCUAGAAGCCUCUCUCACACAUUUCCCCUGUCUUUUUCUGGAAGAAAAUUUCAAAUUCUGUGCUUUUGGAUUCCUUUCCAGAAAGGCUCAAUUGUCUUGAAAGCUCCUCUAUCUGCCCUUUCAUUUUCUCUCCUCCUUUUUGAUUUUCCCUCAUUUCUUUCUGCAAUUUUUUAUUGUUCCUCUACUGUUUGCAUUUCUGCUUUCCAUUCCUUCAUUCUGUUGCAACUUCCGUUAUCUUUUCCUCAAUGUUUUUUCCACUUUCCUUUAACUCUCUCCAGCAAGAUGGGCGGGGCACAAAUAAUAAAUUAUUAUUAUUAUUAUUAUUAUUAUUAUUAUUAAUUAUUAUUAUCUCUGCCAAGAUUUUUGCAAAAUCUCCCUCCCCUUCUAUCUCAUCUUUCGAUUUCCUUCUCUCUCCUGGUGUUGUUGUUUUGGCUAUCUUACUCAUGUUUCUUUCAUUAAUAAAAGCUCUUUAAUGUCUUUCAUUAAUAAAAACUCUUUAAUAAAAUCUCUUUAAUUAAAAUCUGAGGUGAAAUGUCUGUGCGUCUUAUGGGGCAAAUGUAUGGUCUGUGGGGCUGGGGGGGGGGACCCACAAAAGCCCCCCAAGAGCCGCGCUCCCUUUCAAGAGCUGGGCGGAGGGUGGGGGGGGGGGGCUCUUGGGGGCUUUUCCCUGAGGAGGGAGAAGGGCAGCCCGUCAGCGACAGACUAUUUUGGAACGUUCCAGAGUGUUCUAGAACGUUCCAGAGUGCUCUUCCAGAACAUUCUCUUCUCUCCCAGAAUAAUCUCUGCUCUCCCAGAAUAUUCUGGAGGGUUCCAGAGCUCUGGAAUGUUCUAGAGUGCUCUUUAGCGGCAUCUUUACUAGGACAGUCCCUUUCCCAGAGGCAUCUUUUCUAUAGGAUUCUCUUUCCCAUAAUAUUUCGGAAUGUUGCAGUGUGACAAACCACCAGGUCCAAGAAAAACUAGCUUGAGCUAUCCAACAGGCACCUUCAAAGCUUUAGGGUGGGUCCAGAUCACAAAAUUUGAACGGGAACACUUCCUAAUGAUUUCUGCUCAGGAGAAGCCAAGUACUCUGGACCACGAUGUUGAAUGGGCCUUCAGUGACUGAAACAGCUUUGGAUCUUAUAGAUCCAGCUGAAACAGGGAUUUGCAAGGAACUAGUGCACACAUCUUGUUUAGCUCAAGGUAAUUUCUGAUUUCCUUCCUGUUCAAGGGUCUUCUUGAUCUUUUGGGGCUGGAGCUUUCUUUCCAUGCAGACCCUCCCCACCAAUGCGUUUGCUUCCACCUCCUACCAAUGGAGUUUGCGCCUCCAAGCAGUUUGGGGCUGCACUCACUGUGCGCUCGUAUUUCACACAGUCAGGCCACGGAUCAGCACCCAGGAGAUUCCCUAAGAGAAAGAGAGAACGAUGGCCUACCUGCUGAGGGAUCCAGUGGGAGACAGUUCUAGAUGAUGUCCUUGUUCUGUAGGCAUAACCCAAAAGCUGCUAUUUGGUGCUAUCUGCAAGGAAACAAAAAGCAGGUAUGAAUUUAGGCCACUUAAUACUAUCUAGCAGCAGCGAGAAGUAAGCAAGUAUUUGGUCAAAACGUGUAUUUUGCAGUAUAUAAGGACAAUUUCAGCUCACAUAAGCAGGCCAACACAAGAACAUGCAGGCAAUGUAACAAAGGGGACAGUUCUCAGGAUCCGAUUUCUCGUUCACAGCCACAUCUCAGAAAAAAGUUGCAGAAGGUACUAACCCCAUGAAUAAUAAUAAUAAUUUAUUAUUUAUACCCCGCCCAUCUGGCCGGGUUUCCCCAGCCACUCUGAGCGGCUGCCAACAAAACACUAAAAUACAAUAACCUAUUCAACAUUAAAAGCUUCCCUAAACAGGGCUGCCUUCAGAUGAAGGCUCCUGCAUGAUUUGUACCCAUAAGAUCCAAAAGAGUCCCACCCACCCACACUGCAAGAGGAGAAAUCAAACUCUCUCAGGUAGCCCUGUUUCCAUAGAUAACACUCUCAGUGAUUUAUAUUAUUAUUGAAUUCAUUUCCACCAGGCCCUUGGGGUUUCUUACUUUUUCUCUGCGAAGGAACCACAGGCGGCAAAGUAUUCCAACGCUUACGAUAAAACCCCAGACUCCAAAAACAAAAGGUCAAGGGCGAAAGCAGUAAAAGAACAAGGAGGUAUGGGGGGAAGUUUGAAUGGCUUAGAAAUUCAGGAAAUCCUACCCGAUGCCGGUGGAGAAAAUGGAGCAGGGAAAAAUCAUUAGGAGGGAGUCAGCAUUUUGAAAAGUCUACUGAGUAAGAAAGGAGAAAAAAGGUCUCAGCUCCCGAGGGGCAAGAGAGACAAGACACAGCUAAACAAAACAAACUUCAAUGUGAGAUCUAGACAAUGUUUUGAAUUCCCGUGAAACUCAGCCCAUUUGGGAGGAACUUGGAGUUUUGUAUAUACUGUACUGUUAAGGCACUUUUGGAAACAUUAGCUUGGAAACAUUAUUAAGCCCAAAGACUUAUUGUAACAACACGGUUGUUGGAAACAUCCGAAAGACAUUAAUAAGAGCUUUGGACUGUAGAGAAGUCAGAGAUACUGUUUGCAUUCUACUUUACUUCUCAAUAUCUAUGAAGUAUCAGAACUGAUCGGUUUGCGACCUUUUCCACGCUACCCUCUGCGAAAAGCAGUGGGGGAAUUAGAAGUUUUAUAUUCUCCACCUUAUUAGACUUCAUUACAGACGCUGUGCAGAAGGAUGGAUUCGAUCAGGAGCUGAACAGGGUGUGUGUGGAGAUUUGUAUUUGUAUGUGUAUCUGAAUAUGCUUGUUUGGACUAAGGCUGUUCUCAAGGAAAGUAAAUUGAGAUAAUCAUUGGGUAUGGUAAAAGAGAAAGUGAGAGAAAUAGAGACACUCAGUGGCGAAAGAGAACAGCAGGAAACAUACAUUUUUUGGCAAAUUGCACCUUGAAACAAACUAUUAAUUAAAGAAACAUGAGUCAGAUAGCCAAAACAACCACACCAGGGGAGAGAAGGACAUUCAAAGUUGAGAUCGAAGGGGAGGGAGAUUUUGCAAAAAUAUUGGCAGAGAUAAGAGAAAUAAGGAGAAAGGUAAAGGAAAAAACAUUGAGGAAAAGAUAGUGGAAGUUGCAACAGACUUAUCAGGACAAAGGAAGGAAUGGAAAGUAGAAAUGCAAACAGUAGAGGAACAAUAAAAAAAGUUCAGAAAGAAAUGAGGGGAAAUAAAGAAGCUGGAAGAAGGAAGGAGGGAAGUCAGCUCUCAAGAGCAAGUGUAAAGUGUAAUAUAUUAUGUGUAUAUAAUGGAUGUAACUAAAACUAAAUAAAUAAUAAAGGUC